rnacentral:lncRNA from 1 species
AUGACAAAUGGCAGUUGAAAACAUUUGGUUUAAACAAAUGCACGCAUGGUUGCCUUAUUAUCGAUUCUGGCGUGUUCUCAGUGGAGGUAUAUUUGAGGUCACAGUGGUGAUCUUCCUCCCUGUUGUGUUUGGUCGCGUAAUUAAGAUGUUAGCUAGCCUUUUGAAAUUAGGUGAUGCUAUUUGGCAAAAGCAAACAUUUUUCAUGGGAAUAUAUUCAUCCUAAAGUUUAUUUUCUCUUCGUAAUUACUUAAAGGAUGUGGUUAUAUCUCUUACGCCUGAUUUUUAAACAACAGGCUUAAAUCGCAGUCGAUGCAUCAAAGCCGUUGAACUAAAAUCUGGAUGUCAUCUUUAGUCCCUCCUCUCCCACACGUUGCCUUUGAAACUUAACCGUAAAAACAUAAAUUACCACCCCAAGUUAAAAAAAAAUCACACCCAAGAAAUUGUCAUUGCAUAUGUCAAAACUUUGUGCUCCAUAAUUAGAGGCCAAAAUGGAAACGCACGACUGUUCCAAAUUGGAUGUCCCUAAAAAAAAACAGUACUAGCUAAGUACACGUGCGUUGCAACGGAAAUACAAAUAUUUCAAUGAUUUACGUCUCAAAUAUAGAUUACGCAUGUCCAUCGA